CCUACGGGAGGCAGCAGUGAGGAAUAUUGGUCAAUGGGCGCUAGCCUGAACCAGCCAAGUAGCGUGAAGGAUGACUGCCCUAUGGUUUGUAAACUUCUUUUAUAUGGGAAUAAAGUGCAGUAUGUAUACUGCUUUGCAUGUACCUUAUGAAUAAGGAUCGGCUAACUCCGUGCCAGCAGCCGCGGUAAUACGGAGGAGCCGAGCGUUAUCCGGAUUUAAUGGGUUUAAAGGGAGCGUAGGCGGGUUGUUAAGUCAGUUGGGAAAGUUUGCGGCUUAACCGUAAAAUUGCAGUUGAUACUGGCAUCCUUGAGUACAGUAGAGGUAGGCGGAAUUCGAGGUGUAGCGGUGAAAUGCGUAGAUAUCACGAAGAACUCCGAUUGCGAAGGCAGCCUGCUGGACUGUAACUGACGCUGAUGCUCGAAAGUGUGGGUAUCAAACAGGAUUAGAUACCCUUGUAGUC
rnacentral:rRNA from 1 species